rnacentral:lncRNA from 1 species
CAUGCCAUUAUGUAAUGCAACACAUCACAACUAAUCACAUCUCGGAUGGUAUUGUCACCAAUAGUCCUCUACAUAGUCCAACUGUGCCGGGACGUAGAAUGGGUACAACCGGUCUUUCCCUUAUCAUAACAUAUCAUACAGUCCAACUGUGCCAGGGACGUAGAAUGGGUACAACCUGGACUUCCUCUUACAUCGUGCCAGGGACGUAGAAUGGGUACAACCUGGACUUCCAUACCAUAUCAUGCCAUAACAUCAUCAUAUCAUAUAAGGACUAAAGGAUCAUCCAAUGACCAAUCCACAUCAACAUCAUAAAUGCAAUGCAACAUAUUCGUGAAUACUAAUGCAAACAACCUACUAUAUCUCAUGGCAUUCAUGAUGCAUGGAUCAUGCUCAAAAUUCAUAUUUCAUUUA